CUCCCACCAAAAAAGGGGAAGCGACUGAAGAAACGAUGCUGAAAACACUGCCGGACGUCAACACCACAGUUCAGGGCAUGGCCAUCAUGUGGCUGCUCAGCCAGCAGUCCAGUGACUUUGCACCUCUUGGCCAGUACUCUGAGGACCACUUCAGUGAGGAGACUCCACGGCAGAUGAUAGCGAACUUUCAAAAGGAGCUGGCGGCGUUGAGUGCAGCAAUCAAAGAGAGAAACAAAACUCUGGAAGUGCCGUACACAUACUUGGAUCCAGAGGAGGUAGAAAACAGUGUGGCUAUUUAGGGAAGUAAGAGAAGUUUCCUCUCAGUUUUCAUAGUUGAUAAUAAUCCCACACUGAUGUGUUUCAUGUUAUUUUAGGUGUAUUAUUGGAACUUUUGUGAACAUGUUGGGGGGGAGCAGAGGGGACAUGAUAAUUAUUUUCAAUUUUAUUUCAGUUUUGUUUAAAUGUAUAAUUCAAAUUUGAAUGCAAUGUUAUUAUUUGGGAUGCAUGCAGAGAAAUAUGGAGUCAGACGAGUGAGUGUACCGACCCUAUAGAGUUUAGAAAGUGAGUUUCUCUAAUUUGUUGCUUAAAAAUACCUGUGUAAGAAUCUAUGUCAAAGUGCAAAUAAAAAUGUUUUUAAGCAGAAAACAA